CUGUACAUCGGAAAGUAAUUUAGCCGAUAUAAUGACAAAGCCCCUAUGUGCCAUGAAGCACCAUGAAAUAAUUGAAAAACUGGGGUUGCGCACCACCUCACAGUAAAUUGGAGGGGUGUCAGGAGGUAUUUCCUGUAAGGCAGUGCUAAAACAAAGUGCAAGUCACUACUGCUGCAAUCAGAGAGAAACUGCUAACAGGUGAAUCUAAGCAGGAGGUAUGUAACAGGUCAUGUGAGCGAGAUAUGACUGAAUGUGAUUGGCUAGGGCCAGUAUAUAUACAGACCCUAAGUAAGAGUCCUUUGUCCAGCUUGUAACUCUGUAACACUGUGGACCUGCUGCUGUAGUCCAUGUUCCUGCUUUAAGUGUCUUUAUGUGUAUCUGGACCAGCUGUGGACUGUAUAUCAUGAGGAAAGUUGCAUUCAAGGAAGGGGUCCACAGAAGGAGCCACUGUUCACAGAGUGAGGCCUCAUUCACACUGAACACAUCUGCCGGACUCCUAAGCUGGACUCACUAAAUGGCAUGGUUUUCUGAUGCUCAUUAUGGAGGAAUAUCUCACCAGUUCAGUACGGUCAAGAAGUAAAAGAAUUGUGCUGGACUGGAAGGCAUGGGUUCAAGUCCCAUGACGGUCAUGGUGACUGCACUGGACAUGGUGAUGGACACUGGACCGCAUUGAGGGCAAGUCUCUGUCUCUCAGCCUCAUUUCAGCCCAAUUCAGACAUUAUAUUGUAUGUGCAUUUGGGUACAUGCAACUUACAAAUAUAAAUGUUUUUGUCUGAA